rnacentral:lncRNA from 1 species
UGGGAGAAAUUGGAGUAUCUAGUGAAUUGAAGCGGCUAUGAUAUCAAUGAGUGCACGUGGGAACUAGCGGAAAAUCUUAUCAAUGCCUUGUAAAAGGUACAGAAGUUUCAUCGAUGAUAUCCUCAAAAACCUAAGCCCUUUUGAUGAAAGUUUUUUUAGUGAAGUCCCUUCUCCUUGAAGCCUCUUAAUCUUUGGGCUUACA